AUAACUCAAGUCCCGGUGGGCUCCACGGUUACAGAUAGCGAACCAGAUUAUUUCCCCAGUGGAUAUACCCUCCGCUAAUAAGAUGAAAGAGCCAAGAAGUAUUAUAGCGCAGAUUGUUGGCUUGCCAGGGGAGCUUUUGUUCUCGUGGAAGCUCACGAGAACUAACGCCGAAUAAAAAACGAGGCAGUUUGCGAACGUCAACCCUAAUAGCCCGAGUUGUACAUCGGGAUCGAGAGGGAAAGAGAAAGAAAAGGGACCAACUUACGUAUAGUGGCUUGCGACACGGGAUCCUUCAAUAAGAAACAUCUAGAAAAGGAUUCGUUACAAAUUCCCAAUCCACGGCUGGAUAUAGAUCCCGCCAUGAUCCAUCAAAUCCUGUCGAUUCGAAGCGCCAUUGCAAGGUGAGAAUUGGACGAUGCACUGUAGAACCUGAAUAUCUUGGAGGCCAGUCAAUUAUAUGGGCACUGUUAUCUAAGAGCUCAAGCUGACUUUUUUGGUUUGUUUUAGACAUGGUCCUCUUCUAGCAGAGAGCUUCUACUCAGAAAGAUGGAUGAGAUCAUAACGAUCCCAGAGUCUUGGAAUCAAGGCCAAGACUUUCAUUUCUAAGAAGGACUUAGGAGUCAUGCCAGAUUGGCGCCUUUUUGUCAGUCUCUUUUGCUUGAACCGCAGUAUGUAGCACCCAAUUCCAACUGCAUGGAUUUAACAAUGCCUUUUUUGCUUUCCAUUCUCUUCCGGCGCUUUUUGCAAAGUCACGCUAGUUGGGCUCCCUUACAUCAGCUGAUUUUCCGCAUCCACCAACGAUAGCUGUCACGACAAUCAUGGAUUUUGAGAACUGCCUGAGCACCUCUGAGACACGUUUUUCUAAUUUUUUUGUGGAGGCUCCUACUUGGAUCUUUUCGCCUCUAAUUGUGGCGAGGACAUGUAAGAAACCAAGCUACCAAUAUCGGGGUAUCAAUGGAAGGAGAAGAAGAUUGGAAGAGAGACUCAGAGGGUUUUCGAGGAGGCAGGAUUGGUUUGGGCGAAAAGGUCGCCAUUCUGCCGCACGUGGGAGACGAAAAGUGAACUCCUAAACGAAGCUUGUCGGAAACUUUCCAAAGUGUUGCAGUUAAUUUAGAUGAGAGACUUUGGCCGUGCGAGCUUCCCUUCCUCUUGUGGUU